AUCCUCCCAAUGCUUACCGCAGGCAGUGCACCACAGAGUGCUGUCUGUAUAGAAACGGGAGGAAGAGCAGCUUCUCCUAACAUUUGUGCUCUGCCAGCUAUAAUCUGGCAAGGCAUUCUUGUUGGGUGAGACAUUA